ACGAACGCUGGCGGCGUGCUUAACACCUGCAAGUCGAACGGAAAGGCCCCUUUGGGGGUACUCGAGUGGCGAACGGGUGAGUAACACGUGAGUAACCUGCCCUUGACUUCGGGAUAACUUCAGGAAACUGGGGCUAAUACCGGAUAGGAAUCCUUGCUGCAUGGUGGGGGUUGGAAAGCUUCGGCGGUUUUGGAUGGACUCGCGGCUUAUCAGCUUGUUGGUGGGGUAGUGGCUUACCAAGGCUUUGACGGGUAGCCGGCCUGAGAGGGCGACCGGCCACAUUGGGACUGAGAUACGGCCCAGACUCCUACGGGAGGCAGCAGGGGGGAAUAUUGCACAAUGGGCGGAAGCCUGAUGCAGCAACGCCGCGGGCGGGAUGACGGCCUUCGGGUUGGAAACCGCUUUCAGCAGGGGCGAAGCUUGUGGUGACGGUACCUGCAGAAGAAGCACCGGCUAACUACGUG
rnacentral:rRNA from 1 species